UGCAGUCGAACGAACUUAACCAUUAGUUUACUAUUGGAGCGGUUAGUGGCGGACUGGUGAGUAACACGUAAGCAACCUGCCUAUCAGAGGGGAACAACAGUUAGAAAUGACUGCUAAUACCGCAUAUGCCUUAGAAUCACAUGGUUCAAAAGGGAAAGGAGCAAUCCGCUGAUAGAUGGGCUUGCGUCUGAUUAGCUAGUUGGUGGGGUAAUGGCCUACCAAGGCGACGAUCAGUAGCCGAACUGAGAGGUUGAACGGCCACAUUGGGACUGAGAUACGGCCCAGACUCCUACGGGAGGCAGCAGUCGGGAAUAUUGCGCAAUGGAGGAAACUCUGACGCAGUGACGCCGCGUGCAGGAAGAAGGUUUUCGGAUUGUAAACUGCUUUAGACAGGGAAGAACAAAGACAGUACCUGUAGAAUAAGCUCCGGCUAACUACGUGCCAGCAGCCGCGGUAAUACGUAGGGAGCGAGCGUUAUCCGGAUUUAUUGGGUGUAAAGGGUGCGUAGACGGGAAGUCAAGUUAGUUGUGAAAUCCCUCGGCUUAACUGAGGAACUGCAACUAAAACUGAUUUUCUUGAGUACUGGAGAGGAAAGUGGAAUUCCUAGUGUAGCGGUGAAAUGCGUAGAUAUUAGGAGGAACACCGGUGGCGAAGGCGACUUUCUGGACAGAAACUGACGUUGAGGCACGAAAGUGUGGGGAGCAAACAGGAUUAGAUACCCUGGUAGUCCACACCGUAAACGAUGGAUACUAGGUGUAGGGGAUAUUAAAAUUCUCUGUGCCGCCGCUAACGCAAUAAGUAUCCCACCUGGGGAGUACGGCCGCAAGGUUGAAACUC
rnacentral:rRNA from 1 species